ensembl:lncRNA
AAUUUUUCUUGUUAUUUUUUCUUUUUUUGAGGAAGAUUAGCCCUGAGCUAACCUCUGUUGCCAAUCCUCCUGUUCUUGCAGAGGAAGGUUGGCCCUGAGCUAACAUCUGUGCCCAGCUUCCUCUAUUUUAUAUGUGAGAUGCCACCACAGCAUGGCUUGAUAAGUGGUACAUAGGUCCAUGCUGGGAUCUGAACUGGCAAACCCCCGGCCACUGAAGUGGAGUGCACGAACUUAACCACUAGGCCAGUGGGCUGGCCCCUCUUGUUAUUAUUUUACUAUGCUUAUUUGAAAAUUUUUUUACUGUUGUAAAAUAUACAUAAUAUAAAAUUUUACCAUCUUAACCAUUUUUAAGCAUACAGUUCAGUGCAUUUAGUACAUUCACGUUGUUGUGUAAUCAUCACCACCAUCCAUCUCCAGAAUUUUUUCAUUUGUCCCAAACUGAAACUCUGCACUCAUUAAGAAAUCACUCUCCAUCCCCCCUUUUCCAAGCCCCUGGUAACCACUGUUCUGUUUUCUGUCUCUGUGAAUUUGACUAUUCUAGGUACCUCAUAUAAGUGGAAUCAUACAAUAUUUGUCCUUUUGCAUCUGGCUUAAUUUACUUAGAAUAAUGUUUUCAAGGUUCAACCACGUUGUAGCAUGUAUCAGAAUUUCUUUUCUUUUUAAGGCUGAAUAACAUUCUAUUGUAUGUAUUUACAACAUUUGUUUAUCCUUUCAUUCACCGAUGGACAUGUGGGUUGCUUCCACCUUUUGGCUAUUGUGAAUACUGCUGCUAUGAACUUUGGUGUGUACAAAACUCAUUAAAAUACAGCAUCAGGGAGCAUGAGAGAGAAGCAGUGGGAUGUGGAGAAAACCCUAGGGAGCCCCAACAUUUAAAGGGCAGGCAAAGGAAAACCUGCUCCUUCAGGAAGUUAGAUUCCUUUAAGGGUUUUUAAGUAGAGGGUGGGUUUGGUGUCAUUCAUGGGCUAUUUGCAAAACCUGUCAAGGGUCUGAUUUAGGACAGCGGCAUUGUACACAGGGGAGAGCAAACAUACAUAUAUACCAAGGAAGUAUCACAAAAAGAGAUCAUACCAGCAAGAACGGCCAUAAUCAGAACUUUACAGCCCCUUCAAGGAUUUGCUGUCCUUAGGUGCUUCCAAUGAGCCUCGCACUGUGCUAAAUUCAUUACAUUAUACCUUUAAUCUUCUCUGCUCCUCCAAAGAGUACCAUCCCCAUCUAGCAGAUGAGGAAACCGAGCAUCAUUAUGUACCUGCUGUAAUUUCACACAGCUAGCAAGUGGUCAAACCAGCAUUUCACCCUGGGGUCUACCCCCUGCUAAAACAUGGGUUCAAAAGCAAUGUGCAUGGUGCCAGUUCUGAACAAGGGGAGCAUUCAUUUCACAUUCAGCAGACUCUUCUGAAUCCUUGUCUCUGGCCUGAUAAUCUCUUGUCCUUAAGAUAUUUGCAGAGUCAAACGGGGUCCUUGGAGCAUCUAAUGGACUUGACACACUUACAUUUAUACAUUCAUAUGUUUUUAGCUUGCCAGGGAAACCCAAACAACAGCUCAGCAUCUGAUUUCCCUGGUCUUUUCUUCACUGGAUGUUCUAGUUAUGCCUUAGGGAUCACAGCAUGGAAAAGCCAUACAAAGGGUAGAUGAGAGGCCAGGAAUUUUCCCUGACCAUAACCCUCUUCUGUUUCAGGUUCUAUAAAAAAGGCAACUCAAGAAAGAAAAUCACUUCUAACAUCAUUUGCUGCUUUCCAAAAAUAUGAAUUCUUAUGAAUCAGAUGUGUGGCACAAUUGUGGCACACCACACAAUUUACUACUUCAAGGGGGUCCCUGAAGUUCCACUUUCCUCCUGGCUUUUUGGCCUUUUUAUUGCUCACUAACAUCUCCAUCAAAAGAGACUACCCACCAUAAACAAUUUGAAAACUGGAAAAAAUACAUGAAACCACUGUUUUCAGACAGUGGACAACAGGCAGCCCCAAUUAUGAUCCUGAAAGAAAUGAAACAAAUAAGCACAACAAACUAAGGAUGUUAUCCUAAGUCUAUGCUCCUGCAUGCCAUGCAUUGGUGAAGGGAGGCAGGAAGAAGCUUGGAGUAAGAUUCAACAUGCUUUUCAUGAUCUGAAAGCCUCUUUGGACCAGAGAUAACACAGACUGUGAAUUUUGGUGCCAAAAACAUCAGACUUUUGGUUUCAGCCCAUGAUUCAGAAGCUGAAAGUGUGUCAACUGGGUAAUAGUAUCCAGGAAUAAUUCAGUCCAAUUGUCUUUGUAGAGUGAUGGAUAAAAUGAAUGUCAACGACAUUAAACAGCCAGAAAACAAAAGUACGUUGUCAGCUAGCAACAAUAAGAGAAUCUUAACAGAUGUGAUUUAUACCAUUACUGUUGAUGAAGUUAGUAACCUUUAGCAAGGAGACAUAGAAUCAAUAGCUGCCUGAGAGUUUGCAGCUGCAGAAAUUUAAGUGGGAAUUGACCAGGAAGUCAGGUGUAAGAAGUGCUAGCAGAAUAUUUAACCAGAAGAAAAAAAUUUAAGGUUAAUUAUAAAUAAG